AACCAGCAUGAAUGUCUCAGUCAGUAGAGCCUGAGACUCUUAAUCUCAGGGUCGUGGGUCCGAGCGCCCCUCCCCCCGUUGGUCA